UUUGUGAGGCGGAGACUGGUUUUCAUGACAUCAGCUGAGCUGAAGAGGUGAGCUAGGGCCACAAAAGAUGAUUAUAAGGACCCCACACAUUUUGGAAGAAAAGCAAGAGCCAGAAGAUGGGAAAAACAGAUCAUGUUUAUGAGACCAGUCUGCAGCCAUGCCACACUUAAGAGUUUGGGUUUUCAUUCGGCAAAGAAACUAGCUGUUCUUUCUUCAAGGCUCAUUGGAAAACUUGCCCAGCAUCUGUUAGUCUGACUCUUCGGCUUUAGGAUCAUUGUCUUGGAAUCUUCUAAACCAGUUUCUACCUCAAGACCUACCCCAGAAACAACUUCUGUUACCAGUUUCUUACGCAUCUUUCCAGAAAGCCUAGGCAUUAACAGAGGGAUACCUAUGUGCGAAAACCAGCUCCUGACCUGCAGUGAAGAACCCCGUGGAGAAAAACAAGGGAAAUGAACUUGUGAGCCCACAGACCCAGCUUGCCCCUUCACCUGAUGCCAUAAGCCACAGCAGGAUUCCUGGAGGCUGACAGGGUACUUUUGGGAUAAGAGAUUAAAGACUUUGGUUGUUACAUCUUCCCAGACAAGAUAGGUCUGACUUAAAUAACUGCAAGACCAAGGGUUGCUUUGGAUUUAUGAACAGUGAUUCUUCGACAUUAUGAGCAGUGAUUCUCUUUAUCAGCUUACUAAGUUUGUGAAAAACUCAUCUCUUUUAACUAACUUUAAAUACUAGAAAUUAACCAGAUGUCUUCUUUCCCUUGUUAAGAAAAAACAAAAAACAAUGUUUUCUUUCUGUGUAUAUAAUGUAGCAAUAUAAACUGAGGCCAGAAACUCAGAGUGGGGCCAGUCACUUGGAUUUGCUGGUGUCUGGAGCCUGGGUCCUCAGUUUGGC